rnacentral:rRNA from 1 species
CGCACGGGUGAGUAACACGUAUGCAACCUGGCCGCCACAGGGGGAUAACCCGCGGAAACGCGGCCUAAUACCCCGUGACGCCACCGGAGGGCAUCCUCCGGUGGCCAAAGGAGCGAUCCGGUGGCGGAUGGGCAUGCGGCGCAUUAGCUAGACGGCGGGGUGACGGCCCACCGUGGCGACGAUGCGUAGGGGUUCUGAGAGGAAGGCCCCCCACACUGGGACUGAGACACGGCCCAGACUCCUACGGGAGGCAGCAG